ensembl:lncRNA
CAAUGUGAAUAACAAAUUUAAUGGAAAACAUCCAUUCACUGGCUGAAUGUAAACACAGCAAAAAUACACCAGACAAUAAGUCACACAAAAGUCAACAAAACAUCUCGAUAACAGCCUUUAUAACUUUUUCCUAAUCAAUAAGAAAUAAACUGGACAAUUACAGCCCUGCGAAUCAUAUCGCAAGAAUCUGGAAGAAAAUUAAACAAAAAGGAAGAUAACAUCACUUCCAAAUUUGGUGUGGUGAUAAAAAUAAAAGACAGUUGUACAACAUUGUAUCAUGCAAAUCAUAACUCGGGGGAGGAAUUAGAUGCAGUGUUUACAAAUAUAUAGAUUUUGUAAAUAAUAGGCAUACAUCAUUUAAAACAAUAUGGCAAAUAACUAAUGUUACCUGGGAGACAAAAAAAUUGUACCUAUAGGCUGAACACUGGUUGGCAUGAUUAGGCAUUUACAAAUUCUACAGCAAUUUUAGAAUUGGGGUAUUUUGGAUCCAGGAAAAGGAUCGGCCGGAAAGCUGUGAUAUAAGAUACCACAGGUGAGAUGCAACAUUACUCGUUAACCGUUCAAUUUAUGUUGGCAACCGUUUUAUAGCAAUACGGCACCCAUGAAAUUGUGGCAAAUGUCUAACAUACUACACAGCCAAGGGCUUCAUUCAGACACCACUUAGCGUAUUGCCUAACUGCAGCCCCUGGCAGGGAUAUACGACUCAUUUACCACAACUCCUGAGGCCUCCCUGCUAACAUUUGCGCCCCUUGAUGGGUCAAAUAAAUGUACGUUAUACAAUUUUUUUUUUAAGUAAUACAAAAAAGCCAAACUGUUAAGUAUAUACAACAGACAGCGCUUCUGCUACAUACAUCAAACUCUGUGUCCUUUGUCCCUGCUUGUGUGUGUGUGUGUACAAGUGAUAACGAGGUAUAUAGAGCACAAUGUCUGUUGUCCAACGCCUCAACCUCCGAUCCAAUAAAAACACAGGAAAUGGUUCUAGUGGUCAGGUACAGCCCCCUGUCAUAUUGCAGUGUUGCAGUCAGUCAGCAAUCUUUCAUUGUUCCUUUAAAAAUACAAAAUAAAAGGGGGGAGGGGGGGCAUCAGGAAACAAAAGGAUAAAUAAAAAAAUAUUCAUACAAUUAUUUUUGUAGCACAAAAGGCCAUUGUGGCUAUGGAAGACUAUGCAAUUAUUGUUCGAUUUACACACAAUUUUUUUUUUUACAGCAUAAAUAAAUGAACGGUUCAAUGCAAGAACCGCAAGGAAUCACACGAUCAAAUGACGCAUGAGACAUCACAUGUUGAGAGACAUUUCAUUUAGACAAUAAUGUGAGUCCACUAAAAGGCCUAUUCCGAUCAUAGUGUACUAUGUUCGACCAAAACCCAAUUGUCCCUAGUCAAAGGUAGUGCACUUCAUAGGGGAAUAGGAUGCCAUUUUGGAUGCAAUCAUUUUCUUUGCAGACAAAAUUUACCAGGACUUGGCACCCAAUUAAUCAGACAAAACCCUUGGUAGUGCCAGCACACCAGAACUGUUCAACGGUUGCCAUUUCUUAUAGGGUACACGGUUCAAUCACACUAUUUCAGUUUCAGUUUUUCAGUCUGUUUAGGAAAAUGCACAGCCACUUUGUUCAACCUUUUUAAAUAAAGCAAAGACGCGAAACAGGGUAAUAGAAGCUGAAACUAUAGGGGCGGUGAAUAACCUAACAUUAUUUUAAGCAUGUAAAUACUUAAUCAACCCCCCACCCAUCCCAUAUUUCAUAAAAAACCAAGACAUGAUGCUAAUCCCAAAUCCUCCCACAUAACACUCCCAAAUUAAAACAUGGCCAUGGAAACACAGGACGUCGCAA